GAUGAACGCUGGCGGCGUGCUUAACACAUGCAAGUCGAACGAAGCACUUUAUUUGAUUUUCUUCGGAAAUGAAGAUUUUGUGACUGAGUGGCGGACGGGUGAGUAACGCGUGGAUAACCUGCCUCAUACAGGGGGAUAACAGCCGGAAACGGCUGCUAAUACCGCAUAAGCGCACGGUACCGCAUGGUACAGUGUGAAAAACUCCGGUGGUAUGGGAUGGAUCCGCGUCUGAUUAGCCAGUUGGCGGGGUAACGGCCCACCAAAGCGACGAUCAGUAGCCGACCUGAGAGGGUGACCGGCCACAUUGGGACUGAGACCACGGCCCAAAACUCCCUACGGGGAGGCAGCAGUGGGGGAAUAUUGCACAAUGGGGGAAACCCUGAUGCAGCGACGCCGCGUGAGGGAAGACGGUUUUCGGAUUGUAAACUUCUUUUAUUAAGGACGAAAAAAUGACGGUACUUAAUGAAUAAGCUCCGGCUAACUACGUAGCCAGCAG
rnacentral:rRNA from 1 species